rnacentral:tRNA from 1 species
GCGGGCGUAGCUCAGUUGGUCAGAGCGCCGGCCUGUCACGCCGGAGGCCGCGGGUUCAAGUCCCGUCGUCCGCGCCA